AUUGAACGCUGGCGGCAUGCUUUACACAUGCAAGUCGAACGGUAGACCCUUUCGGGGGUUGAGAGUGGCGAACGGGUGAGUAAUGCAUCGGAACGUGCCCAGUCGUGGGGGAUAACGUAGCGAAAGUUACGCUAAUACCGCAUACGACCUGAGGGUGAAAGCAGGGGAUCGCAAGACCUUGCGCGAUUGGAGCGGCCGAUGUCGGAUUAGCUAGUUGGUGGGGUAAAGGCUCACCAAGGCGACGAUCCGUAGCGGGUCUGAGAGGAUGAUCCGCCACACUGGGACUGAGACACGGCCCAGACUCCUACGGGAGGCAGCAGUGGGGAAUUUUGGACAAUGGGCGCAAGCCUGAUCCAGCCAUGCCGCGUGCGGGAAGAAGGCCUUCGGGUUGUAAACCGCUUUCGGACAGAAAGAAAUCGCAUGGGUUAAUACCCUGUGUGGAUGACGGUACUGUAAGAAGAAGCACCGGCUAACUACGUGCCAGCAGCCGCCGUAACAC
rnacentral:rRNA from 1 species